GACUGGCUGGGACAUCGUGAAAUCGUUUCAGGCAUCGCCCUCAUCUCCUGUCUUCCAUUUGAGCUGCACAUAAGAUAAGCAGAUUUUGCAUGCUUCCAGGGUACCUUCCAUUCCAGUGAAUCACAGCUCCCACUUUCUUGAAGUUCUGUGGUGUCUCUAAAGUAAAUUCUUCAGCCUACAAGCUCAGUACUUCCCGUCUCCCUCCAUCUUCGUGGGAGUGAAGCGAGGCAUCAUUUAUGGACCUGAGGACAAUCCCCAAAGCUCUUCUCUGGGACCAUGGACGGAUGUCUGUUUCCAGCCCUGAGUUAUUUUUCUCUGUUGACUUCAUUUCUGCCUUCCGCCUCCGGAGUGCUGGAAUGGUUUGCCAGUGGCCCCUCCUUUCCCUCCUCAAGUGGCAGUGACACCUGGCCAUCUCUCAUGCAGGAAGUCUUGGCUGAACGAUCACGGAGAAUGACUCACAGAAUCAAAGGAUGGAGGGAAGGUGGUGUCUCCACAUUUUUAGGCAAAUGGAAGUUGAAUCUGCCAAGUAACCCUCCAACUCCUCUCUCCUUGAAAGGAUGCGCUGCACCAAAGGGAAGGAAGGAAUUUGUCAGAAACCACAGCACAAUUAAUGGUUGAAUCAAGC
rnacentral:lncRNA from 1 species